UCUCUCUCUCUCUCUCUCUCUCUCUCUCUCUCUCUCUCUCUCUCUCUCUCGUUCGCUCUCUCUAAUCUGCUGGGAUUAACUGGUUUUGAUUGCACCUAAACGGUCACAGAAGAGACAGAAAGAGAGAGAAAAAGGAAAGAGGACUAACGGGACUCAAACUACCCACCCCGGACAGCACUGAGAGACCUACCCCUGUCCAGUCUCCAAGGACCGUUACAGGGUUGUUCAGCUCUGACCCGCGAAUUCCCGGCCAUGUCGCGCGACCAGUGUGAGUCAGUGGCGUCCAGCGUGGAGUCCAUGCUGGAGGACGCGCAGCGCGUGCAGACCCAGUGCCGCACGCGCAGCGACCAGCUCGCGCUGUCGGCGACACAGCUGCGCGUGGAGUCGGCCGCGCUGCGCCAACAGGCCGAGACGGUCCAGCUGGACAUGGCGCGGGUCCGCCGGCAGCUGGACCAGCUGAUGGACACCAAGGCGGCGUUCGACGCGAGCGAGAGGACGGCGCGCAAGCUCAGCAAGCAGCUCUGAGUUCUGCCGUUCAUAAAGGCUCGACUGUUGGUUGUGUUUAACGCCCGUCGUUGCUUGCUCGGCUCUGUUUUAGUUGCUGUUUUCGAAAUAUAGUUAAGCACUUUUUUUGUUGUUGCACUGAUUAUGGUCUUAAAGCGCAUCAGACAUUAAUGUGAAUCGAUGUGUUACUUACUUACUACUGUAGCCUACUAAUUAUUGAAACUCAGACGUGUACACCAUCCCGCCCCCUUAACCGCUGCACCACCAAGACGCCGGCUAAGAUUUGCUCGGAAGUUAUACUUGACUACAAUUCACAUGAUGUAGAAGUAUGAGUUCAUCAGUUGGACUGGAACCCUGGUCUACAGAGGUUAUCCAACAGUGCUCUCCACCGCACCACUGAGAGAAUGAUCAAUGUUCAACAAACAAUCAUCCAAUAAACAACACCCCUUAACCGCUGCACCACCAAGACGCCUGCUAGGAUUAGCUCGGAAAUUAUACUAGACUUUACAAUUCACAUGUUAUUAGAAAUAAGUUAAGGAAAGUCAAUCAGCAAGACAUGAACCAGGGUCUCUGGGCAAUUAGCCAACAGCUCUCUCCCAUUCCUCAGAGUCAGGUUAAAUGGUAUGGUUGGAGGUUACAGUUUGAAAGACAGAUCAAGGAUGAACCUCUAUGAUGGUCGUAGAUCAAGGUUUGCGAUGAUGUUGCUUCAGGACGUUGAAUAAUCUUCAAUGUCCCUUGGAUAAUAUCUGUGAAAACCUAGCGUUUACAAGAUUUCAGUCUCAUAAUUCAUUAAAGGUCAGAGGUCAACUUGUUCUUGUGAUCAUUGCAAAGCGCAGUAUAGGCUCCCUUUUAAUUAUUGGAUCAAUGUAGGGACAACCGUGUGUUCAGUAACAGUUUUUUAACGUUUUAUUAAAAAAAACAUGACAAAAACGAUACAGAAGACAUCUUUUAGAUAUUUGUUUAGUACACUUGUUGUACAGAGCAGAGGUGGUGAAUUUGGGUCAAGUUGCAUGAGGCAUUCAAGGGCCUUAACACCCAAAUGUCAAACAUGUGAGGGCCCCUCCUGGUCUGUCGUUCUUGAACCUUGACCCCGCAAUCGUAUUUGCUUCCGAAGAACAAAAUAAAAUUAUUAUUAUUAUCGUUGUUUCACCAGUAGGGGGCGAUCUUUUGUCCUUAGUCGACGCCGGGCCCGGGAUCGUGGGAGGUGUCGCGGAGUUGCGUUCAUGUCGGUGAGAAACAUCAAGAAAAAAACAUCACCAAGCAAUAAAAAAUUAAAUAUGCGUUUCAGACCAGCCUCGGAGAAGUGUCGUCCAGUGGUUCAAAGUGCUACUUAUUUGGCCCCCUUGUGGCACAAAAGGGACACGACAACAACAAAGACAACACGUAAGGAAUAUGGCUUCUUUGUGAACAUGCCUGUGAAGAUGCAGACAUUUUCCUCUUUGAUUACUGUCUUUUCUCUUCCCAUUCAACACGUCAAGUCCGUUUCAUGUGCGCAUGUCGUCGGUGAAAAACAUAAAAAGCUCUCUUCUUUGACAUCUUACAUUUACGUUUUUUCACAUAUCUACUGGAGUGCCUCACUACACAUACGUCUUCACGUGUCGUCCUGGAUAACUUCUUUUUAUUAUUUUUCAAAGGUCCUAUUCUUCAUCUGACUAUCUUCCCUCCGCUGUAAUAAUAUAUUUGAUCAGACAAACACACACACACACACACACACACACAGCACACACACACACACACACACACACACACACACACACACACACACACACACACACA